rnacentral:misc_RNA from 1 species
ACGCAGUGUUGGGCUUGGACAGACAAUGUCAACAAUAACGAAUUUCUUCUCUAUUUUCCGUUAUUGAUCCUCCUUUCCUAGCUCUAUCCUCGUCUCCCUUGCGACCCCGAAGGAGGAGGAUAACCGAGGAUCACCCAGAGAAAUGCCCAGCAAGUGACCCAGACGACCAUCACAGCUACCAUUGAAAUAGGCGCGAUGGACAACAGCAUGUAUUACCAGUACAACAGAUUUACUGACAAGAGCAAAUCAGAGCACGAAGGCUACGCGACAGCCCCUCCACCGACAACCACGGCACAGAAUUCGGGCCAGUUUGGCAAAUUCGGGGGAAACACGAUGCAGAGGCCAUCACAGUACCAAGGGUCAUACAAUUCCAUGGACACACAGGAGUCCAACCAGCCCAAGUUUGGAAAUACGUCCCAGAGACCGCCAACAUACGGUGAGUCCGGUGAUGCAAGCAAGACGGACGCAUCCCAGACAGACAGGUAUGGAAGUGGAUCGCAAAAGCAAGGACAGUAUGACACGUCUUACGAAAUGAUGGACGCGCAGAAUUCGAAUCGAUACGGGAGUGGUUAUGGAAAUCCGUACAUGAUGGGCGGCUACUACGAUGACUACGGGCACUCGGGAUACUAUAGUGACUAUGGGAUGUAUAGUGGUUAUGGAUAUUCACAUCCAUCUGAGAGGUAUGGAGAGAUGGAUUACUAUAGUGGUUCAAAUGUGCAGGAAGGUUAUGGGAAUUCCAAUCAGUCUACAAACUAUGGAAAUGGGAAUCAAUCAAAUAAAUUUGGCAACAAGGACCAAACUGAGGAAUAUGGAAAUUAUAUGUCCAAUAGAUUUACAAAUAAGAGCCAAGGGGAGAACUAUGGCACCCCACCUCCGCCACCAGGCAGAUUUGGAGGCAAGGAUCAGCCGAGCAACUAUGAGCCCCCACCCCCACCCCCACCCAGUAGGUUUGGGAAUAAGGAUCCACCAGGGAACUACGGAACACCGCCUCCCCCACCAAGCCGGUUUGGCAGCAAAGAGCCUCCAAAUAUUUACGGCACGCCACCUCCCCCGCCGAGCCGGUUUGGGAAUAAGGAACAGACGAGCAAUUACGGAACCCAGCCGCCCCCGCCUGCCCGUUUUGGAAGCAAGGAGCAAAUGGACAACUAUGGAACUCCACCCCCUCCCCCGCCAGGACGCUUUGGAGGCAAGGAGCCGCCAAACAACUAUGACCAGCCACCCCCUCCACCUAGUCGCUUUGGCAGCAAGGACCAGCCAAACAACUACUCCAACCCUCCCCCUCCACCGAGCAGAUUUGGAAACAAAGACCAGGGAGACAGCUUUGGAAAAUCUAACGUUCCAGGACGAUUUGGAAAUAAUGACAAUGACAGCGGUGGAUACGGAAACCCCCCCUUGGGCAGCCGAUAUGGAAGCAAAGACAUGCCAAAUAGGUUUGGAAGUAAUGACCAGGGGGAUAACUACUCCGGCUCGUAUCCACCCAACCACUUUGGGAAUUCAGAAUACUCGGAGAACUAUGGCAAUCAAAACCAAGGAAGCAGGCUAGGUAACUCCGGCCCCUCAAAUAAGUUUGGAAACUCGGAACAGAUGAACAGGUUUGGUAAUGAUGGCCCCCCAGAGAACUAUGGGGGGAACCAAGGCUACUCUAACAGGUAUGGUGGUGCAAAUGACUCCAAUGAGUAUGGAAAUCCAGACCAGAUGGACAGGUUUGGAAAACCACCACAACAUAACAAAUCAAAUAUGUCCAACUCAUCAAAUGCACCCAACACAUCACAAAGCCUACUUGGAAUGCCAAACAUGAAUCAGCAAAGUAAUUUCGGAAACAACGCGAACAAACAGCAACAACAACAGAAGCAACAGCAGCAGCAUAACACACCAACACAGAGCUUACUGGGCUUACCCAAUUCAGGAAAGCAAAACUCAAUGGGAAACAUGGGGCAGAAAUUCAACCCUGCACCUGGGCUCUUGGAUCUGCCCGGCAGCAACCAGAUGAACAAAUUUGGGAAUGGGAACCAGAAGCAGCAGCAGCCAUUUGGCAUAAUGCCAAGUCUGCUGGGCUUUCCUGAUGCAGACAUGUUCAACAAAUUCACAAGUGCCAUGCAGAAAAUGGCACAGGCUCAGUUCAACCCCUCAGGUGGCUUGCUGCCACCUCCCGAUAUGGGCAAAAUGGACCGAGGCAGUGGAAAGACGGCGGAGAUUGCCCCUCCACCCAGCAUGGCCCCUUGCAAGGAGCCUGAGCGCUUCAAUGAGCUCCCCAAGAAGCCAGUGAUUCAGUCCAAGAAGCCGCCUGUGCAACAAGCCCCGCCCAAGAACCCUUCACAGAUGGGCAUGCAACCUGUGAGGGGUCUUCAGGCACAGCUCCUCAGCCUUCAGGCACAAAUCCAGAACAGAGGCUUAGCUGCAGGUCCACCUGAAGAGCCAGGGAAGAACACAGUGCGCUUCGAUCUCCUGACCGGGAAGAUGAUCGGUCAGAAGCCGCCCCCAAUGACCUUCCAGAGGGGGGGGAAAGGAGGGCCAGCCCAGGCACGUUUCAGCAAACGGGCCGGGCUUGGCAUGAAGUCGGCCAUGAGCGAGGGCCAGUUUGGCAAGGGAUUUAAGGGACAGAAGCAGAUGAACAAGAUGGCCAUGAAGAUGGGAAAGAAUAAAGGUCAAAUGAAUAAGGCACAGAUGAACAAGCCCAUGAAGCAAGGCCAGUUUAACAAGGCCAACAUGAAGAUGGGCCAGAAGAUGGGGCAGUUCAACCAGUCGAUGGCGUACCAGAAUCCAUGGGCCAAGAAGGUUCAACGUGUUGCUGUCGAGGAUUGGGUUGCACUGGUGCCGUGAGCCCCCUUCUGCCACCGCCACCACUACUCUCCAGGCAGAUAAACCAGGCUUCAGAUACAGCUAGGCACCAGGAGAAUGAUGCCUCCCCUCCCCACUGUGGUGCCAUAAGCAGCAUAAUGCAUGGCAGGAUGUUCAGAUAGGCCAACUGCACGCCACUGCUCCUAUCACGUCGCUCUUUGGUAUGAAGAUGAUGCGCAGGAUGGGUUGGACUCCUGGUGAAGGCCUUGGGAAGAACAAGAAGGGGACGCUGGAGCCUCUGCUGGUGGAUGUCAAGACGGAUAGGAGAGGCCUCCACGCCAAGCAGGAGUCGGCCCCAAAGAAGGCAGCAGCACCGAAGCUCAAGGAAUACGACGGUACGC